GCGAGAAUCUUAGCUGAAGUUAACGAACUGGUUACACAUUCAGUGUUAAGUCUUAUUAUUAUUAUUAUUUUUGUAAACGCGUAAGAGCUGGGCGUGUAUCCAGAUCAGCAGAGACUGCUUGAGUGUCUUUACAACAUGAUGGGUGAAUUCUCCUGGAGCCAAUGAUUCAAAUCCUUCACCACCUCAGAACAGGACCAGGGACUUGCAGCCUCUGACUUGGUUUGCUCCCUGUGUUUCCGAGCUCUUCUGGGAAGGACCUGGUUUUCAGCUUGUUGUCCGGACUGGAUUGGCUAAGCGCUUCUGGAGAGAAGAGUUGAAUAAAUAUUUUAUUUAAUA